rnacentral:misc_RNA from 1 species
CAAGGCGCGAGAGCGCUGAAACCGGGGAGGUUGGCGUAUGCCAUUAAACCCAGCGGCCCCCCCAACAUCAACCCUUGUGAAAAACCCAUUGCUUCGGCAGCUCCGGCGCUACCGCUGGGUCAGUCUGCCGGAAGCACCCAACCAAACCAUGCUGAAGAAACCGUGGCGUCUGAAAACAUAGUCGAAUGACUUAGUA